UACAGAGGGGGCAAGCGUUGUUCGGAAUUACUGGGCGUAAAGGGCGCGUAGGCGGCCUGUUAAGUCGAACGUGAAAUCCCCGGGCUCAACCCGGGAACUGCGUCCGAUACUGGUAGGCUUGAAUCCGGGAGAGGGAUGCGGAAUUCCAGGUGUAGCGGUGAAAUGCGUAGAUAUCGGGAGGAACGACCGGUGGCGAAGGCGGGUCUCUGGGCAAUUCCUGACGCUGAGGCGCGAAAGCGUGGGGAGCAAACGGG
rnacentral:rRNA from 1 species